GUAAUCUGUCCCUUCAAGUACAUCUGAUAAAAUUGGAACGAUACAGAGAAGAUUAGCAUGGCCCCGUCGCAAGGAUGACACCAGGGGCAGCUCAACCAAAUUGGU